rnacentral:lncRNA from 1 species
AUCUAGAAACGGUUUACCUGCUAGUCUCACUAUCUCACACCUCUACUCCAUAACAUACCUUUGUUCAAAAUAUUAUUACAUGAAUUAUUGAUAAAUAUAGAAAUGCAAUGAGAACACAUCAAUUAUAUAUAUUUUCAUUCGAGAUUUAUUUUGGGUCAAAACCUAUAUUUACCUUAAAUCAUUCUCUUAUGGAAAUUCACUCUUUUAUCGACCCAAACAUCCAUUUAUCAUAACAGAUCGGAACAAGACUCGACUUGUAAUGGCACAAUCGAAGAUGUCCCGUCGAUUACUGCUGCUCUUUCGAGUUAGAGAAUGACAAGAGAGAACUUUUUUUUUUUUUUGAAACAAAAGAGAGAACUUUAUUUGCUUGUAAUUUUAGGGGUUAAAAAAAACAUUGACACCCAAAAAGUAAAAUCUUAACAAAAUGUGAAAAAUUUACAAAUCCGAAACAACACUUCUAAUCAUUUAAAUGUUAAUGAGGCAAACAAACUGCGUAAAUUUUACAAUAUUUCCAACAAUCUAACAUUAUUUGAAUCGAACGCCCUUGACACCUAAGGGAAAUGUGCAUCUCUCCACCACUUUCAUUCCCCAUAUAUUACAAUUUUUGUCAUGCUGAAACUUCCAAACCCAACAACUAAUAUGGUAAAGAACAAGAAAUUAUCAGAAUAAAGAUGAUACAUGAUAGAAAUAACCUAAGAAGCUUCUCAAAUAUUGCACUUGAAUUUUCACCAGAGCUGUCCCAUUCCACACUAGAGAAAAAUGACCAGGUGGAAAACUUUACAUCAUUCAUUACCAAUAAUCCCCUUAAUCAUCAUUAUCAACGCCACGACGAAACUGUGAGUAGAGGCACCUCUUUCCAAGCUAAUGUCAGAAAUCCAGGUUUGGAUUCUAUCAGUGAAUACGAAGAACUGUAAUUAUAAUUCCACAACAGAAUCUUCGCUUGACUUAUCGCGUAAUGGCUAAGGCUUACCGUUUCAAAACCUGCACUUUCCAUCAAUACCUUCCAUUGCUCUUUAUCUUCCAUCCGUUCCCUUCGCUUUUCUGCUUCUUCUGCUCCAAUAAUCGCCCCGAUUUUCCCACCCAGUAACUGUCUCUCAACUUCAACUCUCUCCGGUGAAUCACGAGGUAAGUUCGGUUCCAACGAUUCGAAUACGGCCGUGUAAUACCGCAAUGCAUUCUUGAAUCGGUUCACGAACCCCACUCGAUUUAAACUCGCUUCAUACUCGCCCAAUGUCACGAUUUUGGGGUUCAAUGAUUUAGCCAAACAGAGAGCUGCUUCCACGGUUACCGGAGUGGCAUCUAACAAAUUGUAUAAUUGAAGCAUGAAAUUUACAGCCAAUACCUCAUCAUUAUCAACUCGGAAACAAGACUCCUUCAGUUCCUUAAUCGGAGUUAGAAUCGGUUCGAAUUCAAAAUUCAAAUCCAGAAGCUUGGCAAAGUCGCGUAGACGGUUACCGGUAGCAUAAAGGGAGGGAGCUGGAGAUGAUCCCAAAACCGGGGCAGGUAUACCCGAAAUACGAAUUCGGGUGGGUUUUCCAGCCGACCUGGCCGCUAGAGCUUGCAAAAGAGCAGCCCAUUGAACUCCUUGAACAAUUCCAAAGUCCACUAUGUGAAUCUUGGUUGCUCGCUCAGUAGCUUCGAGAAUCGCUUGAUUUGCCGUUAAAUGAGCGAACUUGGAGUAAGGGCAGGCGUCGUUCAAUACUUUGUAAGAGAGAGUGAAGUCCUCCGACGUCGUUUCGAGCAGAUUCAAUCUUUUCUCUGCUGGAAGAGAGACUCUGCUAUAGAGGGCUUGGGUGAAGUAAAAAGCCACUCUUUCAGUUGGAUCUCCACGUUCAGAUACCGACUCCCUGAGUUCAACCAGCGAUUUAAUCGCGCGUUCAGGUUCUGAGUCGGAGAGUCUAGCACAGUCGAGUAAAGCUUUCAAAAGCGGGGGAGCUGACUCGAUCUCGGUGGAAUCAGCUGAGACCCCUGCGGCGUCGUUUGUGAGUGGGGUCUGGCUCGGAGGACUGCUUGCUUUGGUUUCUUUAACGGCUACAUGAGGAGGUGGUGGUGGCGGAGGGGAUGGGGAUGGGGACCACGUCGGUAGCUGGUGCUGAGGCUGAAGAGUAGGGCUAAGGUUUUUCUGUGCCUCGGUUGGGAAAAUGACUCGGUUCAGAUCAGACGGCGUAGGACACGCCACGCUGAGACGAUUUGGGCAAGCACUAAAUGGAUCAGCGCCGUAAAGACCAAAAUCAGCAUUGUUCUGCCAUACUUCACAACCAGACGGCAGAUUUGAACUAUCCGUUGAAUCCCCACUGUUCAUUAAGCAAUCCAUCCAUUCGUCGGUGUCAAACUCACCACCCGAACCACCACCAAAAUCCGGGAAUCGAAACCCACUCGAAUGAUGAUGCCCCAUGUUAGGGAACUGAAACCCUUCUCCAGUAUCACCCUGAAAUAGGUCAGUGAAACCUGGACCCGAAAGCCCGUACCCGAGAAUGGGAGAGUUGGAGACGCCAUGGUGGGGGUUGUUAGGCCAAGGGUUUAAAGUAACAUGACUGACACCAAGAAGCUGUUGCUGGUGGUGGUGGUGCUGCUCUUGUUGUUGUUCUUGCUGUUGCUGUUGCUUUAUAACUUGUUGAGCGAUUGCCAUUAGAUUUCCGCUAUCCGCACACAUAUAUGCCAUUCUCCGGCCAAACCUCGACGGAAAAUCGUUUGAACUGCACUAUCAUAACCCACAAUUAACAAAGAAAGGAUCAGCGAAAGAGUGAAUUUUUUUUCCAGUUUUUAAAGCAUGAAAGAAGAGAGAGAAGAAAGAGAGUACAUACAAAAGUGUAGGCCCAACGGUAACUGAAUCAGAAGGUCUACAAACUUGGAUUUUGCUCAAGGAAAGGAGAGAAAGAGAAAGAAAGCAAUUUGGAGAAGUGCAACUCAAAAGAACGAUACCUAGAACAGUAGAAGUAGAGAGCGCUGAGUAGAGUCCCUUCAAAUGAACAAGUGGGACCUUAUAUCAUAGCUGCUAAGCAUAAAGCCAAGUUGAUCCCUCUUUAUUUUAAACAAAAUAGAAUGAGAAUUUGAAAAAAAUAUUAAGAUUUAAGAGGGCUAAUUAGUCAAAAAAAGGCUGAUUUUAAAAGUUAACUACCUCGCUUUUUUUUAAUUCAAAGAAGGAUAAAUUAUACUAAUAAUUACUUAAUUUUGGAAUAGUUGAUAAAAUAGUUACUUAAAUUUUAAUUUAAUUACUUAAUUUUUGAAAAUUAAUAAAAUAGUCACCACUAACCAUUUUUCGUUAUAGACGUAACGAAGCUACCAUUUUACGUUAGAUACUUAACGGAGUUGCCAUUUUUCAUCCCCUAUCACUGCUCUCCCAUCCAUCUUCCUCUUCAACAUAAUCCAUCCCCCUAGUCUGAUUCUCUCUCCCUCUUCCCUACCAUCUCUCCUCCUACUAUAAUUCUUUCCCUUCCCCCACCGUCCCUUUGCUAACCCUUUUCCAUUACUUUGAUUCUUUUCCUCUCUAUUUUUGGCAUUUCCUUUCCCCUUUCUCUCUCGCUUGAAGGAACUAAAACUUCGUUAAUCAGACAACUAAAAUGUUAGUAAUAAUAAAAGUAAGGAAACAUCUCUCCCGUUUCUUUUCCAUUUAAGCUUGAUGUUAUUGCUUAUUUAUUUCUUGUAUCAUUUGCAUUAUCUGGGUUUCAAUUCCUUUUAUUACAUCAGUUUUUUUUCGUUACAAAAGAGUUACUGCUUUGAUUCUCUUUCUAAAAAAUUUAAAUCUGUUGGGAAUUUUUAACUGAUUGGUUAUCUUUUCUUAUCGUUUUUUCCCUCAUGGAUUCCUUUUUUUUAAAAUUUGCAUUAUAGGGUGUUAAUACUGUAAGAGUCAUUACAUUUGCAGUCAAGGUAUUAGUAUUCAAACUGUAUACUUUGUGUAUAAAUUGACAAUUUUUUAUUGUAUUUUUGAAGCUUAUAUUGUGAAAGCUUUGAUAGUUUCGGGGUAGUGAGAGAAUUUGAGGAUAAAAAGCACAUAAAAGGGAACCUUUUUCAUAUCUUUGUGUAUUCUGUGAUAAGCUUUACUUGAAGAGGAUGGUAUCUUGUAAAUUCUGCAGAAUAAAUGAAGAAUUUUAAAUCUUUUAGUUGGCAUGGUUGAUAAUUUAAUUAACAAUGUAAGAUGAGAUAAAUGAAGUGUUUAGAAAAUAAAGACCAAUCACAAUCAACAAUUUAGGAAUUAAACCAUGGUUUUGAGGAGAAGGCUAUGAAAGUAGAUGAGAGAGUUUAGAAUCUUGUGCACUCUGGAAGCACCAGUUCUCCAAGGCUGCUGCCAUUGGGGCAUAGGUGCACUCAGAGUUAAUUUGUAACUACAUGACACAAGCGUCCCAAUAGUUUCCAGAGAUUGAAAACUCAGAUGCAGAGGGCUUGGCGAUGGGGUGAUAAUUCAAAGGAUGAAAGGUAUCGGCCCAGCUUCAAUCCUGAGGUUUUGGCAAACUAAAAAUGCAAGUGGUACCAACUCCACUCCAAAUCUAUGGUAUAUUAGACCAAACUCUUCCACUUCUUUUUUUUUUGCUUAUUUCUAAGUUUCCUCUAAUCAGUCAUUUUGUGUAUGUAUUUUCUAUGGUUGUAAAUUCGUUGGAUGGUGGGGGGAGUGAAAUAAUCAGAGUAGGGGAAAAGGGUUAGCAAAGGGACGACGGGGAAAGGGAAAGAAUCAAAGUAGGAGGAAGGAUGGUGGGGAAAAGGGAGAGUGAUGGGAGAGUAGUGAUAGGGGAUGGAAAAUGGUAGCUCUAUUAAGUAUAUAACAGAAAAUGGUAUGUAACACCCCAAACCCAUCCUAGACAUUAUGGUUGUAUCUGGCA